AGUCGGGUCCUAAGUCGAGUCCGAAAGGGGUAGACGAUGGCAAAUUGGUUAAUAUUCCAAUACCAACAUUAGUGUGCGAUGGAAGGACGCUUAGGGCUAAGGGGGCUAGCGGAUGGAAGUGCUAGUCUAAGGUCGUAGGAGGUUAUACAGGCAAAUCCGUAUAACAAUACUCCGAGAACUGAAAGGCUUUUUGAAGUCUUCGGAUGGAUAGAAGAACCCCUGAUGCCGUCGAGCCAAGAAAAGUUUCUAAGUUUAGCUAAUGUUGCCCGUACCGUAAACCGACACAGGUGGGUGGGAUGAGUAUUCUAAGGCGCGUGGAAGAACUCUCUUUAAGGAACUCUGCAAAAUAGCACCGUAUCUUCGGUAUAAGGUGUGGUUAGCUUUGUAUUAGGAUUUACUCCGAAAGCAAGGAAACUUACAACAAAGAGUCCCUCCCGACUGUUUACCAAAAACACAGCACUCUGCUAACUCGUAAGAGGAUGUAUAGGGUGUGACGCCUGCCCGGUGCUCGAAGGUUAAUUGAUGGGGUUAGCAUUAGCGAAGCUCUUGAUCGAAGCCCGAGUAAACGGCGGCCGUAACUAUAACGGUCCUAAGGUAGCGAAAUUCCUUGUCGGUUAAAUACCGACCUGCAUGAAUGGCGUAACGAGAUGGGAGCUGUCUCAAAGAGGGAUCCAGUGAAAUUGUAGUGGAGGUGAAAAUUCCUCCUACCCGCGGCAAGACGGAAAGACCCCGUGGACCUUUACUACAGCUUGACACUGCUACUUGGAUAAGAAUGUGCAGGAUAGGUGGGAGGCUUUGAGUAUAUGACGCCAGUUGUAUAUGAGCCAUUGUUGAGAUACCACUCUUUCUUAUUUGGGUAGCUAACCAGCUUGAGUUAUCCUCAAGUGGGACAAUGUCUGGUGGGUAGUUUGACUGGGGCGGUCGCCUCCCAAAUAAUAACGGAGGCUUACAAAGGUUGGCUCAGAACGGUUGGAAAUCGUUCGUAGAGUAUAAAGGUAUAAGCCAGCUUAACUGCAAGACAUACAAGUCAAGCAGAGACGAAAGUCGGUCUUAGUGAUCCGGUGGUUCUGUGUGGAAGGGCCAUCGCUCAAAGGAUAAAAGGUACCCCGGGGAUAACAGGCUGAUCUCCCCCAAGAGCUCACAUCGACGGGGAGGUUUGGCACCUCGAUGUCGGCUCAUCGCAUCCUGGGGCUGGAGCAGGUCCCAAGGGUAUGGCUGUUCGCCAUUUAAAGCGGUACGCGAGCUGGGUUCAGAACGUCGUGAGACAGUUCGGUCCCUAUCUGCCGUGGGCGUAAGAAGAUUGAAGAGAUUUGACCCUAGUACGAGAGGACCGGGUUGAACAAACCACUGGUGUAGCUGUUGUUCUGCCAAGAGCAUCGCAGCGUAGCUAAGUUUGGAAAGGAUAAACGCUGAAAGCAUCUAAGCGUGAAGCCAACUCUAAGAUGAAUCUUCUCUAAGCUCUCUAGAAGACUACUAGUUUGAUAGGCUGGGUGUGUAAUGGAUGAAAGUCCUUUAGCUGACCAGUACUAAUAGAGCGUUUGGCUUAUCUUUAAUAAAGCAU
rnacentral:rRNA from 1 species